rnacentral:rRNA from 14 species
GACCGAUAGCGAACCAGUACCGUGAGGGAAAGGUGAAAAGCACCCCGACGAGGGGAGUGAAACAGUACCUGAAACCGAACGCCUACAAUCAGUCGGAGCUCCUUACGGAGUGACGGCGUACCUUUUGUAUAAUGGGUCAUCGACUUGGUCUAUCUAGCAAGCUUAAGCCGGUAGGUGUAGGCGCAGCGAAAGCGAGUCUUAAUAGGGCGAAUGAGUUAGAUGGAUCAGACCCGAAACCGAGUGAUCUAGGCAUGACCAGGAUGAAGGUAAGGUAACACUUACUGGAGGUCCGAACCCACACCUGUUGAAAAAGGUCGGGAUGAGUUGUGCCUAGGGGUGAAAGGCCAAUCAAACUCGGAGAUAGCUGGUUCUCCGCGAAAUCUAUUUAGGUAGAGCGUCAUCCGAAUACCCCGGGGGGUAGAGCACUGGAUGGGUAAUGGGGCCCCACAGGCUUACUGAUCCUAACCAAACUCCGAAUACCCGGGAGUACUAGAUGGCAGACACACUGCGGAUGCUAACGUCCGUAGUGGAGAGGGAAACAACCCUGACCUACAGCUAAGGCCCCCAAUUCAUGGCUAAGUGGGAAAGCAGGUGGGACGACCAAAACAACCAGGAGGUUGGCUUAGAAGCAGCCACCCUUUAAAGAAAGCGUAAUAGCUCACUAGUCGAGUCGGCCUGCGCGGAAGAUGUAACGGGGCUCAAACUGGUCACCGAAGCUGCGGCUGCAUACUUUGUAUGCGGGGUAGGGGAGCGUUCUGUAAGCCUGCGAAGGUGUGUUGAGAAGCAUGCUGGAGGUAUCAGAAGUGCGAAUGCUGACAUGAGUAACGAUAAUGCGGGUGAAAAACCCGCACGCCGGAAGACCAAGGGUUCCUGCGCAACGCUAAUCGGCGCAGGGUGAGUCGGCCCCUAAGGCGAGACCGAAAGGUGUAGUCGAUGGGAAACGGGUUAAUAUUCCCGUACCUUGGAUAGCUGCGAUGGAGAGACGGAGAAGGCUAGGUGAGCCGGGCGACGGUUGUCCCGGUUUAAGCGAGUAGGGAGUGGGCUUAGGCAAAUCCGGGUCCACAAUCUCGAGACGCGACGACGACUGCUCAUAGAGCGGGAAGUCAUUGAUGCCAUGCUUCCAGGAAAAUCUUCUAAGCUUCAGGCUAUUCGAGACCGUACCCCAAACCGACACAGGUGGUCAGGUAGAGAAUACCAAGGCGCUUGAGAGAACUCGGGUAAAGGAACUAGGCAAAAUGGUGCCGUAACUUCGGGAGAAGGCACGCUGGUGGUAAGUGAAAUCCCUGCGGGUGGAGCUGAAGCCAGUCGAAGAUACCAGGCCCCUGCGACUGUUUAUUAAAAACACAGCACUGUGCAAACACGAAAGUGGACGUAUACGGUGUGACGCCUGCCCGGUGCCGGAAGGUUAAUUGAUGGGGUUAGCGUAAGCGAAGCUCUUGAUCGAAGCCCCGGUAAACGGCGGCCGUAACGAUAACGGUCCUAAGGUAGCGAAAUUCCUUGUCGGGUAAGUUCCGACCUGCACGAAUGGCGUAACGAUGGGGGCGCUGUCUCUACCCGAGACUCAGUGAAAUCGAAAUCGCCGUGAAGAUGCGGUGUAUCCGCGGCUAGACGGAAAGACCCCGUGAACCUUUACUACAGCUUGGCACUGAACAUUGACCCUACAUGUGUAGGAUAGGUGGGAGGCUUUGAAGCGUUGUCG